rnacentral:tRNA from 1 species
GGGCUCGUAGUCUAGUACGGAUCAUGACACUGGCCUCCGGAGCCAGAAGUCCGGGGUUCAAAUCCCCGCGGGCCCG